CCUCCUACGGGGCGCAGCAGUAGGGAAUCUUCCACAAUGGACGAAAGUCUGAUGGAGCAACGCCGCGUGAGUGAAGAAGGGUUUCGGCUCGUAAAGCUCUGUUGGUAGUGAAGAAAGAUAGAGGUAGUAACUGGCCUUUAUUUGACGGUAAUUACUUAGAAAGUCACGGCUAACUACGUGCCAGCAGCCGCGGUAAUACGUAGGUGGCAAGCGUUGUCCGGAUUUAUUGGGCGUAAAUCGAGUGCAGGCGGGGUCAACAGUAUGAUGUGGA
rnacentral:rRNA from 1 species